CUACGGGCUGCUCCAGUGAGGAAUAUUGCACAAUGGGGGGAACCCUGAUGCAGCAACGCCGCGUGGAGGAUGACGCAUUUCGGUGUGUAAACUCCUUUUAUAUGUCAAGAAAAUGACGGUAGCAUAUGAAUAAGCACCGGCUAACUCCGUGGCCAGCAGCCGCGGUAAUACGGAGGGUGCAAGCGUUACUCGGAAUCACUGGGCGUAAAGGACGCGUAGGCGGGUUGGAAAGUCAGGUGUGAAAUCCUACAGCUUAACUGUAGAACUGCACUUGAAACUUCUAAUCUAGAGUAUGGGAGGGGGAGAUGGAAUUAGUGGUGUAGGGGUAAAAUCCGUAGAUAUCGCUAGGAAUACCUAAAGCGAAGGCGAUCUCCUGGAACAUUACUGACGCUAAGGCGUGAAAGCGUGGGGAGCAAACAGGAUUAGAUACCCGUGUAGUC
rnacentral:rRNA from 1 species